UACGUAGGGGGCUAGCGUUGUCCGGAAUCAUUGGGCGUAAAGCGCGCGUAGGCGGCCCAGUAAGUCCGUUGUAAAAGUCAAAGGCUCAACCUUUGAAAGCCGAUGGAUACUGCUGGGCUAGAGUCCGGAAGAGGCGAGUGGAAUUCCUGGUGUAGCGGUGGAAUGCGCAGAUAUCAGGAAGAACACCCGUGGCGAAGGCGGCUUUCUGGGACGGUACUGACGCUGAGACGCGAAAGCGUGGGGAGCGAACAGG
rnacentral:rRNA from 1 species